AUACCCAUUCUAAAGACUAGCACAGAAUGGUAAAGUAAGUCUCCAUAAAACCCAGAGAAAAGAUUGAAGAACUCUUUGGAUCCUGUCUGGAGUCACAGCU